AUCAUCACCCAGGACCUCAAGUGGGAGCUGAACAUCAGCUCCAUCACCAAGAAGGCUCAGCAGAGCAGCUGAGAGGCGAGCGGAGAAGAAGGCACAAGGAUGUAGCUUCCCAUCUGCCGGCUGCUGGGAAAGCACUGCCCCUACUGCCGCCUCAGAUGCAUCUACCUCGACCACAAAGGAGAGAGAGGGAUCAGAGGAUGGUUGGGGCCAAUCCCGAACAACUUGAGUCUUCUUGGGAUCUGUGAGAAGACCGCCCUUGGACAGGAUGAAGCCCAAAAAGGACACCUCAGAGACGUGGAACUCACAUUUUUCAGGUUUUACAAAGUCAAUAAAAGUCAAUAAAAAAAAUGAAUUAAAA
ensembl:lncRNA